CGUCUAUAUACGUAUAGCAUAUCAAUAAGCGGAGGAAAAGAAACUAACAUAGGAUUCCCUCAGUAACGGCGAGUGAAGCGGGAAGAGCUCAAAUUUGAAAUCUUCAAGGUUCUACCUUGACGAAUUGUAGUUUAAAGAAGUGUUUUCUGUUGGAGUUUUGGUAAAAGUUCUUUGGAAUAGGACAUCAUAGAGGGUGAGAAUCCCGUAUUUGACCAUUAUUUCCAACUUUGUGAUACACUUUCAAAGAGUCGGAUUGUUUGGGAAUGCAGUCCAAAAUGGGUGGUAAAUUUCAUCUAAAGCUAAAUACUGGCGAGAGACCGAUAGCGAACAAGUACCGUGAGGGAAAGAUGAAAAGAACUUUGAAAAGAGAGUUAAACAGUACGUGAAAUUGUCAAAAGGGAAGCGUUUGACACCAGUGUUGUUUUCUCGAAAAUCAAUUAAAAAUGGCAGGAUUUUGUGUUGUAUUGACUUUAUCAGCUUUCUGCACUUUUUUCUUGUCUUUUUUAAUGCACUUUUCGUUUAACAAGUCAACAUCAAUUUCUUUUGUUGUAAAAGGGUCAUUGGAAGGUGGCUUUCUUUUCGGAGAAAGUGUUUAUAGCCUUUGACUUCUGCAAUCGGAGAGAUUGAGGUCUGCAGCGUAGAUCCUUCGGGGUUAGAUGCAUUUGUGCUAAGUUAUAGCCUUUCAUAGACAACUUGUUGACUAUGAUCAGUCAUGUAGCUUACUCGCUUAUGUCAUUUUACCUACGCUUAGGAUGUUGACGAUCAGCUGAGCGCG
rnacentral:rRNA from 1 species